CUCUAACAGAUUCCACUGCUCCUAUUCCCGCCAUCUUUCCUCUACCCCAGGGCCCUCGGGCUGCCGAAACUGUAGACUGCAGUGCCCAGCUUCUCAGUUUAGCUUGGGGGUGGAGAGAAAAGGCCUUCUGGUUGGAAGGUCUCAGGGGAAAUGCACCUAGCAAAUUAAGGUGUAAACCUGCCUAUGAUGAGAUGAACAGUUGAAUACCCAUUAUAGUAAAAGGGAAAAAAGAAAGGAACAUAGGAGUCCAACGAGAAGAGAAAUUCAGGCCAUGAGGAAACAUUACUCAGACAAUACCCAUUAACCAAAUAGUGCUUCAUGUUUUAUAAAAACUUAAAUUAUUUGAGUAAACCAAGUGCUCACAGAGGUGAUCCAACCACAUAACUGUAACCAAGAAUGAAAAGCUAAGGAAACAAAUUGAAGCCUGGUGCAUGGUGCACACCUGUAAUCCCAGAGACUUGGCAGGCUGAGGCAGGAGGAUCUCAAGUUCAAGGCCAACCUCAGCAACUUAGCCAGAUCCUGUCUUGAAGGGAAGAAAAAAAGAAAUUUUAGACAAAAACCAU
rnacentral:lncRNA from 1 species